rnacentral:rRNA from 1 species
CCAGCAGCCGCGGUAAUACGUAGGUGGCAAGCGUUGUCCGGAUUUACUGGGCGUAAAGCGUGUGUAGGCGGACCUUUAAGUAGAAAGUGAAAGGUAGGAGCUCAACUCCUACAUUGCUUUCUAUACUGGAGGUCUUGAGUGUCGGAGAGGAAGAUGGAACUGCACGUGUAGCGGUGAAAUGCGUUGAGAUGUGCAGGAACACCAAUGGCGAAGGCAAUCUUCUGGACGAAAACUGACGCUGAGACACGAAAGCCAAGGUAGCGAACAGGAUUAGAUACCCUGGUAGUCUUGGCCCUAAACUAUGUUCACUAGGUGUCGGGGGUUUCCCUCGGUGCCGCAGCUAACGCAUUAAGUGAACCGCCUGGGGACUACGGCCGCAAGGUUGAAACUCAAAGGAAUUGGCGGGGGCCCGCACAAGCGGUGGAGCAUGUGGCUUAAUUCGAUGCAACGCGAAGAACCUUACCAGGGCUUGACAUGCUACUGCAAGCUGCCGAAAAGCAGUCGCCUUCGAGGGGUGUAGCACAGGUGGUGCAUGGCUGUCGUCAGCUCGUGUUGUGAAAUGUUGGGUUAAGUCCCGCAACGAGCGCAACCCUCAUGUUUUGUUACCAGCGGGUCAUGCCGGGAACUCGAAACAAACUGCUUCUGUAAGGAGGAGGAAGGUGGGGAUGACGUCAAGUCAUCAUGCCCCUUACGCCCUGGGCUGCACACAUGCUACAAUGGCCGGUACAAUGGGGUGCGAAACCGCGAGGUGGAGCCAAUCUCAAAAAGCCGGUCUCAGUUCGGAUUGGAGUCUGCAACUCGACUCCAUGAAGUUGGAAUCGCUAGUAACCGCAGGUCAGCAAUGCUGCGGUGAAUACGUUCCCGGGCCUUGCACACACCGCCCGUCACAUGACGGAAGUUGGCCUUACCCGAAGUCAGUGCGCUAACCGCAAGGAAGCAGCUGCCGAAGGUAGAGUCGGCGACUGGCGUGAAGUCGUAACAAGGUAACCAA